rnacentral:rRNA from 1 species
GGUAGCUUGCUACUGAUCUUAGCGGCGGACGGGUGAGUAAUACUUAGGAAUCUGCCUAUUAGUGGGGGACAACAUCUCGAAAGGGAUGCUAAUACCGCAUACGUCCUACGGGAGAAAGCAGGGGAUCUUUAUGACCUUGCGCUAAUAGAUGAGCCUAAGUCGGAUUAGCUAGUUGGUGGGGUAAAGGCCUACCAAGGCGACGAUCUGUAGCGGGUCUGAGAGGAUGAUCCGCCACACUGGGACUGAGACACGGCCCAGACUCCUACGGGAGGCAGCAGUGGGGAAUAUUGGACAAUGGGGGGAACCCUGAUCCAGCCAUGCCGCGUGUGUGAAGAAGGCCUUAUGGUUGUAAAGCACUUUAAGCGAGGAGGAGGCUUACCUGGUUAAUACCCAGGAUAAGUGGACGUUACUCGCAGAAUAAGCACCGGCUAACUCUGUGCCAGCAGCCGCGGUAAUACAGAGGGUGCAAGCGUUAAUCGGAUUUACUGGGCGUAAAGCGCGCGUAGGCGGCCAAUUAAGUCAAAUGUGAAAUCCCCGAGCUUAACUUGGGAAUUGCAUUCGAUACUGAUUGGCUAGAGUGUGGGAGAGGAUGGUAGAAUUCCAGGUGUAGCGGUGAAAUGCGUAGAGAUCUGGAGGAAUACCGAUGGCGAAGGCAGCCAUCUGGCCUAACACUGACGCUGAGGUGCGAAAGCAUGGGGAGCAAACAGGAUUAGAUACCCUGGUAGUCCAUGCCGUAAACGAUGUCUACUAGCCGUUGGGGCCUUUGAGGCUUUAGUGGCGCAGCUAACGCGAUAAGUAGACCGCCUGGGGAGUACGGUCGCAAGACUAAAACUCAAAUGAAUUGACGGGGGCCCGCACAAGCGGUGGAGCAUGUGGUUUAAUUCGAUGCAACGCGAAGAACCUU